rnacentral:lncRNA from 1 species
UUUUCACUUGAAUAUGGUAAGCAGAUAUUCAUUUUAUAAGUAACAAAAGCAUCAGAAAUAACUAGAGCAACUAAAAGAAUUUUAUUAGUUAAAUAAGAAGGAUCCGAGGUAGUAGGGUAUAAAUGUUCCACUAAUAGGAAACCCAAGCAAUAUAAUAUAAAUUCAAGUAGGGUAUAAAUUUUAUUAGAGCAACUAAAAGAAUUUUAUUAGUUAAAUAAGAAGGAUCCGAGGUAGUAGGGUAUAAAUUCUCUCCAAGCAAUAUAAUAUGAAAUAAUUAUUUUCUGGAUAUCAAUUUUUGCCAUUAUAGGCACGGUUAUAAUAUGGUUCGGUACGAACGAUCAUUUAAUCUUGGCAUAACAUCAGAAUAUAUGCCAAAUUUAAUAUGAAACAUUAUGUUAAACUAGAUCUGCGCAUGUAAUAAUGCAUGUAAGAGGAAGCAAGGAUGGCUGUGAUCUCCAUCCUGUUUACAAUUUUUAUCUCUCACUCAAAGACAGAGCAAGCAUGGAACCAAAGUGGUGUAUUUGUAAAAGGUGGAAGGAGCUAUAGAUGUGUAGAGGGUGGAGAUUUGUAAAAUCAGAUGAUAUGAGAGAUUUUCAUUUUAAUAUUAAUAAAUGAGAUUAAUGAAUGGGGAAAAGGGGGAGUGGGACUCACAGAUGGGCAGUCAAUAGCCUUUUGCAUUUAGGAACAUGAAUCCUUUUACAUAAGUCCUAACAGUGUAUUCCAUGAUUUGACAUGUAACAGUUAUUAGUCAUGAUGUUUCUUAGUUAAGGAAAAAAAGCAUCACUUGUUAAGUAAAAAUUAAAGCAAAAAAGAAAAACACUAUGAGGGGAUGCAUUUUGUAGGCUGUUUUCAUCUGAUACAUUAAAGCAUAUUAAUCAUGUCAUUUGCUUAUUAGCAAUGACAUUCUUUACCUCUCUAAGUUUAAACCCUCUUGGGGUAUAUAAAAAGGAAAAAGCAAAGGAAGAGGAAUGGGGUGGGCCGGUGGGGCGUAGCCUAAAAACCUAAUCCAAGAGUAGGACCAACAUUGUCUUCUUUUUCUUCAUUAAAUUAUUCUCCCCUCUCGUGCAAUUUUUUUUUUUCCUUUUAACAAAUUAAGAAGUCAUGAGAAAACAUUUAUAUUUCAUUGCUUUGGAGAAGCCCAUGAGAGAUGUUCGCAAGAUUCUCCCCUCUCUUCUUUUCUGCAGUAAAUAAAGACUUUCAAGUCUUAACCAUGAAGAUUAUCCUCUAUGAUGUCAAGCUACAGGACUCAACAAUCUAUUUUGAUAAAAGUAGUGUAACCUUUCUUGGCCAGUUCAGUCAAGAAAGUCCUACUUAAUUGAUUUCAGACCUAACUGCCAUUAACUUACUUGGGAAUCUCAUUGCAUUAUUCAAUUCUUGAAAUGAAUAAGUUUUUUUAUUGAAAAAUUUGAAAAACAUGCUACCAGGUUGGAAAACACAAUUUUUAUCUCUGGGUGGAGGACUUUGUGAAAGCAGUCCAAUCAGCUAUUCCUGCUAAUUGGAUGCCAGUUCUAAUCGUUCCUAAAUGGGUCGCCAAGAAAUUGGACAGUGUAAGAAGAGCCCUCCUGUGGAGAGACAUUGAAAAAAGUUAAUGGAAGUUUUGAAAAAAGUUAAUGGAGCUUUUUUCAUGGUAAAUUAGUUCCAAGUCUAAAAAGGAAAUUCAAGGUAGAUUAGGAGUCAAAAUUUUGCAGCUUUCUAAUAAAGUGCCAUGAUGCAAGUG